rnacentral:lncRNA from 1 species
CAUUUUUACCUUGAGGUAUCUAAUGCCAAUAGAGUGGUUGUACCUUCUCGAUGCAAUCGAACCACUGUAACCAGUCGAGAAUGAUCAAUGUCAAAAAAAGGCACCCGCAUCUCUACAAUAGUAGAAAGACCAGUGGAUUUAAUAUUUAGUAAGAAGAUUUAGGUUCAGAUCUCUUCUAAUUAGUUACAUACAUCUGACGUAAUGACUAAUCUAGUUUAGAUCAGCAUAUUUCAUGUCUGACCAACCUAGUCGGCAUGGGUGAACUCGGGUCAACAAGUGACCUAAUACUAAAUAUAAUCUCCCAAA